CCUCAGUGUCUCAAAGUGUUGGGAUUACAGGCGUGAGCCACUGCACCUGGCCGUUCCCACGUUUUUAAGACUCAACUGUUACAUGGAAAAUAAGCUCAGGACAAGAACUUGGGACCCCAGUGAACACCAGCACGAAGAAGGCAGUAACAGUGUAGCCCACCAGCACCCUGUGGCCGCCCCCACAUGACAGGAAGCAGUGGUGGAGCAGGCCAGGCCCAGAACCUUGGACCCGGUUCAUCUGGCUGCAGACUGCAGGACUACAAGAGGUGUUAGCAUGCCAUAACACCCUCUCUGGGGCUUUGGGAUUGCGGCCUUCCUUGUUUGGGCACCACCAUGUUCCCCUCAUCAGGACACUGGACUCCACCACAGGAGUUUGCUUGCAAAACACCUGGUCCAGCCACAAGCCCUGCACAGAGCCCACUCUUGUGUCGGCACUUGGAGCAGCUGGCCAGGCCUGCACUCGCUUGCUCACACACCCUCCUCCCACCAGGGGCUGAGUGCACAGUUGCAGUGACCACGGGAUCCAUGCUGGAGUACAAGCCAGGUACAGCCCGGUUGGCUGAGUGGGCGGGGCACCGCUUGUUGCCAGCCCAGGCCUAGCAAGGCCCAGGCAGGGGCAUGGCUGGCUAGAGGUCUCCAGGUGGCAAAGUGUCUGAGAAAAAUCUUGCGUCAAUGUCAAAUCUUAUGAACAUGAAGUUGGACUUGACUAUCUUGCUCAAUGUAGAGAAACAGUCAAAAAGAGCCAAAAGUUCCAUGUAGCAUAAGAAGUAUAUUCCAGCAGAGAAAAUCAUAGGUCUAUUCUUUUUGAGUCUACUCUAGAGGCAACAAGGAAUAUCGCUAACUUUAGGGGACUUUCUAACAUGAUACUGCUAAUUUGUAACCUGGCUUCAGGCCAAAGAGCCCAAGUAGCUGGAAGAAAUAUGCUAUACUUUUGUUCUCCUUUUCUUCUUUCUUUACCAGUGAUUCUAUGUUUACAAAUUAAAUAACAAGAGAAUCCAAAAAGCAUUCCCAACUUUGCAUGCAUUAUAAUACACACCUCCAAAACCACUUCCACUAAGGAAGUAGGAAUUAUGGACUCAUUUAAUCAAUAAUAUAAAGAAACAUCAUUUUCUU
rnacentral:lncRNA from 10 species